rnacentral:lncRNA from 1 species
AAAAAUUAAACAUUUUGUUCAUUUCUAUCUAAAUCCUUCCAAAUUGAAAGGAAAAAAAUUUCUUCCAUGAAUGAAACUCAGGCACAUUUUUUUUAACUUUCAUUUAUUUCCUUUUUUUCCUCGUUAAGUUGAACUCGUGAACAGAGAAUUUGAAUUACACAUAUCAAAUGAUUUCUUUAGACCGGAGGACGUUGUGGUCACAUUUCACCGUCACCUUGGCACACCUUAUUUUCUUCUCAUUUUCCUUUCACUCUUCAAAAUCCAGGAAAGUGUCACACUUCACUUCAUUUUACUUUUUUCUUCUCAUUUUCCUUUCACUCUUCAAAAUCCAGGAAAUUGUCACACUUCACUUCAUUUUACUUUUUUUGAUAAAAUAAAAUUACUAUAAUUUUAAAAGCUAUAAUUUAAUAAGAAGAAAUUAAUUAAAAAUGGUUAGUAAACACAAAAUUAAUAAAAAAUAUUUCAUUGCUCGAAAAUAAAAAUUACAUAACCAAAAUAAGAAACCAUCAUUAAAAUAUAACAAUAAUUAAAAUACUACAUCAUAUCAAAUUUUGCCCGAAUUCUAGACAAAAUGGUAAAAUGGUUGGUAUUUAUAAAAUGGUAAAAUGUUUUUUUAAUUAAAUCUAUAGCCGUUGAAGAAGAGAAAAGAACGAGAGAAAAUGCAAUAAAAUCUCAUGGCGUGGUUCCUUACAUCGCUUUGAGUGCACUAGCAAUGUGGUGUUCACCACCGGGUGAAAGCUCCCAAUUCACCCCACCAAUCCACCAUACCAUAUGGGGCUACUCCUUCGGUCCUCAAAGUUACACUUGAUAAUACUUGUAUCUCUAGCCUAGACAUGUAAGAAACAAAUCUAGGUGAGAGUAUUAGUUGAAUCUCUAGCCUAGACAUCUAAAAGAAACAAAACAAACAAGUCAAAACCUAAUAAAUAGGGAACAAAUCUUUUAAUCUGUACUUGACGUUCACAUUCAUAUAUGUACCCAAUCUUUUUGUAACUCAGGGUUACAUACUAUUGGCUAAAAAUUGGCUAAAAAGGGGGGUUUUCUCUAAAGUUAUAAAAAUAUACAUAAAAUGGACCAGUUUGAAGACAAACCUAAAUGACAAAUCUAGUAACAUAAACAAUACCCCUACAAAAGAAAAGACUGCAACAAAGCAUCCAGUUUUAGUAGAGUGGUUGCAGAGUUGUUGCAAUUUCAACAUUUAUAUCAAGAUAAUGAUAAUCCCACAAGAUUAACACUUACUUAUACACCACCAUUACUCACUAGUCACUAACCAAUUUUCAUCCAUAAAAAUCAUGAAAGCGAAGGACUCACCAAAAACUACAUGGAAACCCUACUGCUGUUCGGCUGAAAACAAGGUUUUUCACAGCUUUAGCCGUUGCAGACCCUCAAAAUCGGAAUUCUCGAAAAAUGUAGCCCCAUCACCUUCUUUCAGACGCAUGUCUUUCUCAGAUCU